CUCUACUGUAAACUGCGCCUCGGCACAUAGCAUGUAUUAUUUGUGUACAUAAUUUAUUCUCGCCUAGGGCAUCUAUCAACCUUGCCAAUUUAAUGCGAUGCCUUACUCCAAGCUAAACAACUAUUACACUUAUUCACAUCAAACGAAAAUCAAAUGACGUUUAAAUGUGCCUAGUCAUUCGUAGAGUACUUAUAUGCGUCGGCAUGUUUAAUAGCAACAAUAAUCAAAACCUUAUUACAGUAUGAUGAUUUUUUUAUUAUUCAUUUCUAACCACCACUUCCUCGACAAUAUUGGUCAUUGGCCGGGAUUGCCGUCGAAGUGUUCUCAAGAAACCUCUUUGAUCAAUUUUAUCCUGAAGCCAUUCCUAGGAAUUGAUUUUGCUGUGCCAAUAUUUUGAACGAAAAAUGUAUGUCUAUAUUAUAUAACAUGGAAAAGAAGGUCAACCAAUGAACAAUGAAUAUUUUUGAGCGAAACAAUGAUGAAAAACAACGGAAACUGCAUGUUCACAACAAAAUAACACAAAUAUUUAAAUUAAUUUACUAGGUCGUAUUAAUUAUCUCCGAUGAUGUGGUUGAAAAACUUAACGAUCUAAACGUGUUGGAUUAAUAUUUUAUAUGAAAACCUUGAAUCUAGGAAUUCUUGUAAUUUGUUAAUAAAAUAAUAAAGUGUUAAAAUUAAUUUGAGGUCUUAUAUUAAAUGCGAUUGGAAUGUGUAAAUUAUAAAUUUUUUAU